UACGUAGGUGGCAAGCGUUGUCCCGGAUUUACUGGGCGUAAAGAGCGCGCAGGCGGUCGUUCAAGUCGCGUGUGAAAGCCCCCCGGCUCAACUGGGGAGGGUCACGCGAUACUGAUCGACUCGAAGGCAGGAGAGGGAAGUGGAAUUCCCGGUGUAGUGGUGAAAUGCGUAGAUAUCGGGAGGAACACCAGUGGCGAAGGCGACUUCCUGGCCUGUUCUUGACGCUGAGGCGCGAAAGCUAGGGGAGCAAACGGG
rnacentral:rRNA from 1 species